AUGAACGCUGGCGGCGUGCCUAAUACAUGCAAGUCGAGCGAACAGACGAGGAGCUUGCUCCUCUGACGUUAGCGGCGGACGGGUGAGUAACACGUGGAUAACCUACCUAUAAGACUGGGAUAACUUCGGGAAACCGGAGCUAAUACCGGAUAAUAUAUUGAACCGCAUGGUUCAAUAGUGAAAGACGGUUUUGCUGUCACUUAUAGAUGGAUCCGCGCCGCAUUAGCUAGUUGGUAAGGUAACGGCUUACCAAGGCAACGAUGCGUAGCCGACCUGAGAGGGUGAUCGGCCACACUGGAACUGAGACACGGUCCAGACUCCUACGGGAGGCAGCAGUAGGGAAUCUUCCGCAAUGGGCUAAAGCCUGACGGAGCAACGCCGCGUGAGUGAUGAAGGUCUUCGGAUCGUAAAACUCUGUUAUUAGGGAAGAACAAAUGUGUAAGUAACUAUGCACGUCUUGACGGUACCUAAUCAGAAAGCCACGGCUAACUACGUG
rnacentral:rRNA from 1 species